UCCAGCUUGACGGAGCGCAGUUAACAAACUGCUGAGAUCAUUUUAAUCACAGGUGUUUUUACGGCCUGAUUUAAGAAUGAGUACCGUUGAACCUGAUCAGGUUAAAACCUGCGUAGGAAUCAAGCCAGCUAAAAAC
rnacentral:ncRNA from 1 species